rnacentral:rRNA from 1 species
GCGAGUCUUUGCAGUAAUGCAAGGCAUACGGCUCAGCAACACGUAGUCAACUUACCCUAUGGACGAGGAUAAUCUCGGGAAACUGAGCAUAAUACUCGAUAGAUCAUAAUGCCUGGAAUGGUUUAUGGUUAAAAUGAUUCGUCGCCAUAGGAUGGGACUGCGGCCUAUCAGCUUGUUGGUGAGGUAAUGGCCCACCAAGGCGAUUACAGGUACGGGCUCUGAGAGGAGAAGCCCGGAGAUGGGUACUGAGACAAGGACCCAGGCCCUAUGGGGCGCAGCAGGCGAGAAAACAUUGCAAUGUGCGAAAGCACGACAAGGUUAGUCCGAGUGAUUUCUGCUAAAGAGAUCUUUUGCUAGUCAUAAAACCACUAGUGAAUAAGGGGUGGGCAAGUUCUGGUGUCAGCCGCCGCGGUAAAACCAGCACCUCAAGUGGUCAGGAUGAUUAUUGGGCCUAAAGCAUCCGUAGCCGGCUCUGUAAGUUUUCGGUUAAAUCUAUGCGCUCAACGUAUGGGCUGCCGAAAAUACUGCA